rnacentral:rRNA from 1 species
CCUUAGAGUUUGAUCCUGGCUCAGGACGAACGCUGGCGGCGCGCCUAACACAUGCAAGUCGAACGAGAGAUGAGGAGCUUGCUCUUCAGAUCGAGUGGCGAACGGGUGAGUAACGCGUGAGGAACCUGCCUCAAAGAGGGGGACAACAGUUGGAAACGACUGCUAAUACCGCAUAAGCCCACGGCUCGGCAUCGAGCAGAGGGAAAAGGAGCAAUCCGCUUUGAGAUGGCCUCGCGUCCGAUUAGCUAGUUGGUGAGGUAACGGCCCACCAAGGCGACGAUCGGUAGCCGGACUGAGAGGUUGAACGGCCACAUUGGGACUGAGACACGGCCCAGACUCCUACGGGAGGCAGCAGUGGGGAAUAUUGCACAAUGGGGGAAACCCUGAUGCAGCGACGCCGCGUGGAGGAAGAAGGUCUUCGGAUUGUAAACUCCUGUUGUUGAGGAAGAUAAUGACGGUACUCAACAAGGAAGUGACGGCUAACUACGUGCCAGCAGCCGCGGUAAAACGUAGGUCACAAGCGUUGUCCGGAAUUACUGGGUGUAAAGGGAGCGCAGGCGGGAGAACAAGUUGGAAGUGAAAUCCAUGGGCUCAACCCAUGAACUGCUUUCAAAACUGUUUUUCUUGAGUAGUGCAGAGGUAGGCGGAAUUCCCGGUGUAGCGGUGGAAUGCGUAGAUAUCGGGAGGAACACCAGUGGCGAAGGCGGCCUACUGGGCACCAACUGACGCUGAGGCUCGAAAGUGUGGGUAGCAAACAGGAUUAGAUACCCUGGUAGUCCACACCGUAAACGAUGAUUACUAGGUGUUGGAGGAUUGACCCCUUCAGUGCCGCAGUUAACACAAUAAGUAAUCCACCUGGGGAGUACGACCGCAAGGU